UGCCGCGUGUGUGAAGAAGGCCUCUCGGGUUGUAAAGCACUUUUGUCCGGAAAGAAAUCCUUGGUUCUAAUACAGUCGGGGGAUGACGGUACCGGAAGAAUAAGCACCGGCUAACUACGUGCCAGCAGCCGCGGUAAUACGUAGGGUGCGAGCGUUAAUCGGAAUUACUGGGCGUAAAGCGUGCGCAGGCGGUUUGCUAAGACCGAUGUGAAAUCCCCGGGCUCAACCUGGGAACUGCAUUGGUGACUGGCAGGCUAGAGUAUGGCAGAGGGGGGUAGAAUUCCACGUGUAGCAGUGAAAUGCGUAGAGAUGUGGAGGAAUACCGAUGGCGAAGGCAGCCCCCUGGGCCAAUACUGACGCUCAUGCACGAAAGCGUGGGGAGCAAACAGGAUUAGAUACCCUGGUAGUCCACGCCCUAAACGAUGUCAACUAGUUGUUGGGGAUUCAUUUCCUUAGUAACGUAGCUAACGCGUGAAGUUGACCGCCUGGGGAGUACGGUCGCAAGAUUAAAACUCAAAGGAAUUGACGGGGACCCGCACAAGCGGUGGAUGAUGUGGAUUAAUUCGAUGCAACGCGAAAAACCUUACCUACCCUUGACAUGGUCGGAAUCCUGC
rnacentral:rRNA from 1 species